AACGAACGCUGGCGGCAGGCCUAACACAUGCAAGUCGAGCGCAGUUAUAAUCUUCGGAUUAUAACCGAGCGGCGGACGGGUUAGUAACGCGUGGGAAUAUACCCAAUUCUAAGGAAUAGCCUCUGGAAACGGAGAGUAAUACCUUAUACGCCCUUCGGGGGAAAGAUUUAUCGGAAUUGGAUUAGCCCGCGUUAGAUUAGAUAGUUGGUGGGGUAACGGCCUACCAAGUCUACGAUCUAUAGCUGGUUUGAGAGGAUGAUCAGCAACACUGGGACGUGAGACACGGCCCAGACUCCUACGGGAGGCAGCAGUGGGGAAUCUUGGACAAUGGGCGCAAGCCUGAUCCAGCCAUGCCGCGUGAGUGAUGAAGGCCCUAGGGUCGUAAAACUCUUUCGCCAGGGAUGAUAAUGACAGUACCGUGGUAAAGAAACCCCGCUAACU
rnacentral:rRNA from 1 species